GUUAUAUCUUAAUUUUCUUGUUGAUGUGUUGUAUGUCUAUCUGUGGAACUUGUGCUUUGUAUGUGUAAAUGUUAAUACAAACAAUUUAUUUUUAAUAUUUUAUUUUCAGGUUCUGUGAACUACUGCUUUUGCUAAUCUACCGCAGAUGACCAUGACAAUCCAGGUUCUUUGAACUACUGCUUUUGCUAAUCUACCGCAGAUGACCAUGACAAUCCAGGCUCUGUGGAUCGACUGCUUGUGCUAAUCUACCGCAGGUGACCAUAACAAUCCAGCAGAUAACUUCAGGAUUUUUAGAAGGCAUAUAAUGACAGUGAGCGGGACCAAAACUCUGACAAUCCAAGUCACCUAUAGGUAGCAUAAGUAAUCUAUAUGACUCAAGUUGCUCAAAUAAUGUCUAGAUGUGUAACGAAUACCUUGCAUGUACAGAGCUAUGUUCUGAAUCUGAUAUACUCCGCUUGUAUUCCCAAUGUCAGAUGAACAUUUAAAAAAAAAAAUUGCAUUUCA